rnacentral:tRNA from 6 species
GGGCGCGUAGCUCAGCGGGAGAGCACUCGGUUUACACCCGAGCGGUCGCAGGUUCGAACCCUGCCGCGCCCACCA